CCCCAUAACAUAUACUCACAAACCUCCUAAGUGUUCCCAUUUCUUUUCCCCAUUUUAGAAAAGAGAAAAACGAAAACUUUUGUAUAUGGAUUGAACACUAUUUACUUGCAUAGCACAUGCAACCUUUUUCCCCAGAAAAAAAACAGCACUCCAAAAUUGGGAUGCAUCUUAAGUGGGGAGGUUGAUUUUUGUUUUUCCACUGGAACAGAAAUGUAGAAGAACAGAAAAGAUGGAGACACUGUGCUCUCAUGGCUGCCAAAAUGAAUCUCAAUUCUCUCUGGCACAACAAGAAGAAUGGGCAAAGUCUGGUGUUAACCAUCCAUCUCACAACAGCUAAUGAAUGAGCAGUAGCUAUACUGGAUACUCAGCCAAAAGCUGCUACAAAUUCCUUAUCAGCUGCGAGAGAGUUAACACUGUAGCUUAAACCUGAAAUCAUAAGUAGGGAUCACUCAGAGCAAGUGAGCUGAUGUUUCCAAUCAACCACGACUCUGGGGAAAAAAAAAAAAAUCUAUGUUUUCCCCUAUACAUUCUGCUCUCCAAAAGUAAGAAUGGCCCUGCUCAUCUGCUUCUGCUCUGUAGGUAGCAAACCUGGGAAUGAAGCUGCCCUGAAGGGACCCUCCGCUGUUUUCAAGCUCUGUCUCUGGCAUAAUUCAGCUGCUGGAAGUUGGGAUGCAUACAUACCGCAAGC